rnacentral:piRNA from 2 species
UGUCAUUGUCAGAGUUUUUCACAGAAA